ACGGGUGAGUAACGCGUGGGAACGUACCCUUAUCUUCGGAAUAGCUCUGGGAAACUGGAAGUAAUACCGAAUGUGCCCUUAGGGGGAAAGAUUUAUCGGAUAAGGAUCGGCCCGCGUUGGAUUAGCUAGUUGGUGGGGUAAAGGCCUACCAAGGCGACGAUCCAUAGCUGGUCUGAGAGGAUGAUCAGCCACAUUGGGACUGAGACACGGCCCAAACUCCUACGGGAGGCAGCAGUGGGGAAUAUUGGACAAUGGGCGCAAGCCUGAUCCAGCCAUGCCGCGUGAGUGAUGAAGGCCUUAGGGUUGUAAAGCUCUUUCACCGGAGAAGAUAAUGACGGUAUCCGGAGAAGAAGCCCCGGCUAACUUCGUGCCAGCAGCCGCGGUAAUACGAAGGGGGCUAGCGUUGUUCGGAAUUACUGGGCGUAAAGCGCACGUAGGCGGACAUUUAAGUCAGAGGUGAAAUCCCGGAGCUCAACUUCGGAACUGCCUUUGAUACUGGGUGUCUUGAGUAUGGAAGAGGUUAGUGGAAUUGCGAGUGUAGAGGUGAAAUUCGUAGA
rnacentral:rRNA from 1 species